rnacentral:lncRNA from 10 species
GUGAGGCAGCCAUAUUGUGACCAUGAGGGAAAGACCAUGAGAACUGAAGGGAAAUGGACUCAGAACCCAGAUAUUGUAAGGCUCCUGGAGAAACCCUGGAAACAUCUACUUCUCAACGUUUUCGCUUGGUCUCUCAUUAGACUGAAAAGUGUCUUCCAGGAUUGAGUUAUCUUCUGAAGGCUUGACUGGGGAAGAAAGAAUCUUGCUAUGGUUUGAAUGUCCCCUCCAAAACUCAUGUUGACAUUUAAUUGCCAUUGUGAUGGUAUUAAGAGGUGAGACCGUUAAGAGGUAACUAGGCCAUAAGGACUCUGCCCUCAUAAAUGAAUUAAUGUUAUCAUGAGAGUGUGUUUGUUAUUGCGAAAGUAGGUUAUUGUAAAAGCAAGUUUGGCUCUCUCUUCCUUGCUUGCUCUCCCUCAUGUGUGCCCUCUCACCCUUCUACCUUUUGCCAUGGGGUGAUGUGGGAAGAAGGCCCUUGCGAGUUGCUGGAAAUUUGAUAUUGGAUUUCUCAGCCUCCAGAACUGUGAGAAAUAAAUUUCUUUUCUUUGUAAAAUAU